rnacentral:rRNA from 1 species
AAACAUAAAAGGUGGCUUCGGUUACCACUUACAGAUGGACCCGCGGCGCAUUAGCUAGUUGGUGAGGUAAUGGCUCACCAAGGCGACGAUGCGUAGCCGACCUGAGAGGGUGAUCGGCCACACUGGGACUGAGACACGGCCCAGACUCCUACGGGAGGCAGCAGUAGGGAAUCUUCCGCAAUGGACGAAAGUCUGACGGAGCAACGCCGCGUGAGUGAUGAAGGUUUUCGGAUUGUAAAG